GUUAAAAUAAGCCGCUCAGUGUGAAGAUGAUACCCUCAACCUUUCGACGUGGCUACUGUGAUUAAUGUUUCUAUCCAGUCCUCUUUCUAAUUAUCAUUUAGCGUUGUAGAUACUUCAACUGAGAUAGGCAGAAGGCAGUCCAGAUGCAAUACUCAAUUACUUCUGCAGCUAUGAAGUAUUCCAGUUGACACAUCCAAGUGGAUUUUGUGAUGAAGAAAGCGAAUCUGACAACGACCAACGACUGUAUCAAAAAGAGAAACGUGGGCGGUAAACAUGCGGUACGGAUUCCUUAAUAUCGGAUUUGGAAAACAGCUAGAAAUAAUCGGUCGUGUACCCCCAUCAGAUUCUAGAAGGAUUUCACAGUCCAUUUACUGAAGGGAGGAUGAUAUCUGAUCCAUUGUUACGAACAUGAUCGUUUACAAGGAUAACAUCGUCGCAUAUCAACCAAUACGAUAGCAGCAAGGAUGAAGAUCCAGCAAAGGCAAACCAUCCUGAUGGGACAGUCUAAACUCUGGGGUUGUGGUUUAGCGUUAAUACGACUCGAUCAUAUUCAACGUAAUCACUUAAACAACAGUCAAUUGGAAAUAUCCACAAGUGAAAUUGACGAAGCUGUAUGUGGUAUUGUACAGGGUGUUCCUGAUAUUCAUUCAUGAACCCAGGCAACUUGUUAAGGACAAAGUCAUGCCACCGUAAAAGAUGAAACCACGAAAAGAAAGAAAAGAGCAUUUAAGAGGGCUCCAUAGGCGUCGAUUCCAGAUGAAGAAUAAGGGAAGAAACGUGAGAGAAAUAAAAUCCAAAGGACCAACUCUUCACAAAGGAGUACUCUAUUCGCACAGUAUUACAUUAAAGAAUAUAACUGUCAUGAACGUGAUAGAGAGACCAACAAAUGAGAGAAUGGGAAGUUAAUUUUGACCCUAGCAAUGGUAUCUCUGAAUUUGUUAUGAUUUUCACAUAUAUAAACUUUGGAAUGUCACAUUCUGCAACUAAUUCAGAACAUUAUUCACAGGGUGGCGAGCAUAUCUUACUUUCAUCGACGUUUACUAAUGGACAUGCCUUAGCGGUCAGAAUUGUGGUACAACA